CACAAUAAUAUCCGAAAAACAAAAAAUCCUGAAAGUUGUGAAAUGUUAACAGACAAGCGUGAAGCGUCCUCCCUCAAAGGAAAAAAAAAGCGUGAAGCGUCCCCAUUUCCUCUUCCUCUGGAAAAAGGUUCAGCGGCCGCGUCUUGUGUCCUCCAAGAAGGGAAGCGCCGCCGCCGGCGUCCCCGUCAACCGCCGCCGGUGUCAACCAAUCCAAGAUCCCCUGCCUACGCCCUUCAGAUUCACCUCAAUGGAGGCGGGGCCGGAGAAGGUGAGGAGCCUCGAGAGGGACACCAAGUCAAGGCUGGACAGCCAUCCUGGGUCGACGGUGCGGACUGCCGGCCUAUUCACCGACGACCUCAUCCUGGAGAUCCUCUCCCGCCUCCCUGCCAGGUCCGUCCACCGCUUCAAGUGCGUCUCCGUGCCCUGGCGCGACCUCAUCGCCGACCCCGCCAACCGCAACAAGCUGCCCCAGACCCUCGCCGGCUUCCUCUACACCAUCAUCAGCAACAACGCAUGCCGCCACCACUUUGCUGGUGUCUCCGGCGACGGGGCAGCCCCGUUCGACCCUUCCCUCCCUUACCUGCAGCCUAACAAGGACGAGAGCAUCACCCAGGCGAACGCCUGCAAUGGCCUCCUCCUCUACAGCGGCUACAAGAAAAACAAUGUGGACCCUUGGACAGAGGGUGAUUUCCAUUUUAUGGUCUGCAAUCCAGCCACUGGGAGGUGGGUGGAGCUGCCCCCUCAACCUCAACCGCAGGAGCCGGCAAACAGAUAUAGCCGCACCGCAGGUGCCUGGAGUCACAGGGACAGUGUGAUCCCUGAGAAAGUGGAUCUGUUCUUCUCUAGUAAAUGUGUCUUUGUUGCCGGUACGAUGUACCUGGAGGGCAUCAACAACGAGUCUGUGCUGGUGGGGGUGGACAUGCAGGGGAAAGUCUGGAAAACUAUCUACAUGCCGUGCGGUCGAAGAUUUGGUACGAUUGGAGCGUCGCAGGGGUGCUUACACUACGCUAUAGCUUCUGUUGAUGAUAACAAUAAAGUCCUGGUUUCUGAGAUAGAGCUCUGGUGCCUCAAGGAUCGCGACAGUAAACAAUUGGUCCUCAAGCAUACUGCCAACAUUGAUAAGCUUAUGAGCAUGACCGGACAGAAGCACAGGGUGGUUAGUAUUCAUCCAGACUGCGACACCAUUUUCCUUGUUUCAUGUGGAGAUGGUACCUUGGUAUCAUACGAUAUGCGUCAUCAGAAAGUUGGCCGUAUCCUUAAUCUCGAGAAAGAGAACGCGCAACGGUUUCUGCCUUAUGUUCCUCUGCUCUCAGAGUCAUUAUCAGUGGCAGAUGCAGAUGAGUAGUAGAGUUACCUUCAAACCAAGCCUGUGCUUCCUCUAAGAUGUGGCUCUUCUCUUGGCUGAAUUAUUUAUCUGCGUACUUUGGAAUGUGCUUGGAUAAUGAUGCUCAAUUUUCUGGUGCUUACACUCCUGCUAGCUGGAUUUUCAGGUCAAAAAAAAAAAAGUUUCCAUGCCGGGUGUAUGCACAGUUGGUCCAUUCUUGUUAUCUCAGGUGAUAAACCAAAGGUACAUAUCAUAUGUGCUUGUGCUUCACGUAUCAAAAUACGAUUUUGGCAUGUACCAAAUAUUUAGGCUUGUCUGUAGGUUUAGAUGCUUUGCGUCGUGCGCUCUUAACUUAACAGCCAUAUAGUGAAGCCUGGGUCAUGUGGCCGAUGUGCCUUGUGGCUGUACGCGUCAAAACUCAAAACUGUACCCGGCAAGGAAGAAAAAUCACUGUGUACAUCGUCAGACUCCAAAAUUCUGUCAAAAAUGAAAAUCCUAAAGUCGAUAUCUUGCUGUGCACUAACUACCAUGAAAGCCUGCAAGGUUGAAAAUCAUCUUUAGAAAAAACAAAACAAAUCAGCAUAUUGCUGGUGCUUCAUGAUUCGGUAAAGAGGCAGGAAAACUGCGUGAAGCAAAGGGCCCUGUAGAGAGGAAGACGAACCGCAUACUCUUGUAGUAUCUCCAUUUCUGCUAUAAUUUCGGGUGCAGUAGCAGCAUAUAAGAAGCAGAUUGGACUAUUUCAGAGGUUUCAGUCCAGGUUUCUGUUUCUGAAGCUGAUCCUCUCUUGUCAAGGUACACGCGUAUUAGUAACAAAUAGCAGCAUUUGCUAUCUUUUUUCUUUGUGUCCUCUAAUUAUUUUGCCAAAUACUUCAUGUAAUGAAGUAGCACUGGUGGUUAACAGUGGACUAGCACAAAGAUAACAUGUUGGGUGUCCAUGUUGGCGGUGGUAAGAAAUCAAUAGCUGAUGGGUUAGGUUGAUUCGAUUUGCUGCAGUGCAUUAACCACGAAUCUUCCGGAAUGUGUAAUACUCAUGUUCAUUAUAUAUCGAAUGAUCUUUCUUCUAGCUAAGAAAUUUAGUUGAGCAAUUCAUGGUCGUGUAUGCCAGUAUUUUUACAUCAUGCAAUGCAUAUAUUAUUCUACAUCACUGAUUUGAGUAAUAUCCAUCACCCAUACAUACCAUCUCUCCCGGCUAGCCUCAUAUGCCAGAGGUGUCCUGGACCAGUUUUAAUUAUUUUUACAUGUGGAAUGCGUAGGGUGUAGGACUAAUGUCACGUCCCUGAUCCCAUGGUUAGCUCUACUGUCCUAGUAGCAUUUGAUGAUGCUUAUAUACUGAAAAAAUAAACCCGGCGUUGCGUGCUUUUUCAGAUGGUUUUUAUAGGCCUAUGAGAUGCUGAAUUCAAAUUCAGAAGUGGUUACCGGCAACAAACAUAGCAACGAUUUCCCUAUGACUGUUCCCUCUGGCAGUUCUUAUGUUUUGGUUGACAGCAAAUGUCUUCUCCAAAGCUAUAUGGGUCCUCUUGUUUGUAAACUAGAACUCAAAAGUUGUUCCACCCUCCCUUUUGUUUAAAACAUAUGUAGUGUGAAGUUUCAAUUUAAAACAUAUGUAGUGUGUAGUUUCAAUUGCUUUCGAUGAAACUUCAGCUUCAUUCUCUGCAAUGCAUAACAACUUUGUUUGCCAUUUUUUUCACAGUAAGAGAAUGAACGCAAACUUAUUUCUGCUUGUUUCAGCCACUGAAGUACUGCAUUUACACAUUAACUUGUCAGCCCUGUUAGCCUACAAUUUUUCUGACCUCAGUCUGACAGAACAACUAGUACGGCCACUUUAGUUAUCAAUUGAUUGUUUCUGCACCUGUCCUAUGGUGCUGUCUAGGCAACAACUGAACAAACUCAAGUGGAUAUAUUAACUUUUGUCAGAAAAAAUUGGCUUGUUCAUUGGGUCGUUCUGAUCUAGCUACAUGAUGGGUACCAUCGUUUGAUAUCUGCAUGCGCUUCCCUGUUGACUAGUUUGUUCCCCGUUGAAGCAUUCUGGUUUACGGCUAUUAGCCUGCCGCUGCUACUACUAGUACGGCCACCACCACCACCACCACCAUCACUGUUCGGCUGUUCCUGGCAUGCUAGCUAGUACUAUUUGACCCUUCGGAACUCUUACUUUCCAUCCGCCGAGCUGGCUAAGUGUGCUCCAGGGGACAAAUAUACUGAUGCAAGAAGCAUGAAGGCUUGGCAGACCGAAAUACUGCUCGAACUUAUCAUCCUGUAUAUUUGUUUUUAUAUUGUUUUCUGCCACCCUCUUUGCUGACUGAAUGUUGAUGCUUUUGCAAUGUGUCAGGGGUCUUUCUGCUGAUGCUUUUGCAGCACUGAUUUGCUGAUCGAAUUGCCAUACAUCUUUCUGAAGUUCUGGUAUAUAUGUGAUGUUGUAUUUGCAAUCUUGAUUGCUGGAUGUUCAUGGGUCUUUCUCAAGUUCUGCUACUGUCCGUAUUUGCUGUGUACACGUUGAGAUAUUAUUAGACCAUGUCUUAAACAUGGUCGCUUAUUCCUUGUGUCAAUUCAAUUGGGACUAUUAAAAUGCGUUCUUUUGCAGGCAUUUGAUGGCUCCACCAUACGUACAUGCUCGUUUACUGCCUGUAACUUGAAGAAGGGAGUGAUCAGAGAAGCAAAGAUUCAUGUCGAUAUAUGGUGAGCUAAAGCUGCCUGACAACUUGUAGUGCUCUUAAAUUUCAGACAAGCAACCCAGAGAAAGGAACAAAACAAGGCAGAUGCCCAGUGAGAGUACCGAGGGCGAAGGGCUGCUGUUGAGGGUGCAUCGCCAGGGCAAUGUCUCCUUGCCGCAACCGGCUCUUUGGAUGAAUGUUUGAGAAGAAGAUAAGCUGUGAACACUUUCUGAGGAGAGGCUAACUUUGUAGGGCAAGCUCUUGCCUAUAAAGGAUAAAAGAUCUGCACUUUUUAUUUGGUUGGAUUGUCCUCUUAAUUUUAUUUUAUGAUGGAAUCAGACUAUGUUCCUGUGAAAUAAACUUCUGCAGAAUUUUUCGAGUUCC